UUCAGGGGAUUCAAAACUUCCAACUCCCUCUCCUGCCACAGAAUCUCUUGGAAGAGGGCUUCUAGAAGAGCCAGCUGGGCCAUUUCCCAGAAAGCAGAAACCUCACUGGGACCAUGGAACACACCUACGAGGUGCUUGGCUUGAAGACUGAGAAGGAAGAUACUCUCUGGAGAGGAGAGCGCCGUGCCCCCAGGGAGGAAGCAGAAGGUCACACUCUCUGCUGGAGGGACGGUACGGGCUUCUGACGGGGAGGACGAGAACCCCGAGUCUUCCAGCCCACACAGGAAACGGUGUGGGCCCCGACAUCUGUCUGGUUUUGUCACCAGACAGUCUUAAGUCUCUACGCCAAAAAAGUCCCGGAGAUAAAAGUAACUUCACCUUUUUUUGACCAUCACGUGAAGAACACUCGUCCGGUCGUAGAUCUGAACCCCUGUUCCAAGGCAAAGAAAGAGUGGGGGCAUCGAAAUCGAACCUCUCAUGUUCCAGAAUCAAGGCAUCUGCAGCCGAUUCUCAACUCUCAGGGAACACUGCAAAGGCCGGGUCAGUGCUUUAAUUUCAGAAAACAAACAACUCCAGGAGCCACAUCCUGAGACUGUAAAUGAGACUUUCCCAAGGUUAAAAACAGCAGGCAAAUUCAGUAACCGACCUGAGUGCACAAUUACA